AACGAACGCUGGCGGCAGGCUUAACACAUGCAAGUCGAACGCAUCCUUCGGGGUGAGUGGCAGACGGGUGAGUAACGCGUGGGAACGUGCCCUUCAGUUCGGGAUAACCCAGGGAAACUUGGGCUAAUACCGGAUACGUGCGAGAGCAGAAAGAUUUAUCGCUGAAGGAUCGGCCCGCGUCUGAUUAGCUAGUUGGUGGGGUAAUGGCCUACCAAGGCGACGAUCAGUAGCUGGUCUGAGAGGAUGAUCAGCCACAUUGGGACUGAGACACGGCCCAAACUCCUACGGGAGGCAGCAGUGGGGAAUAUUGGACAAUGGGCGCAAGCCUGAUCCAGCCAUGCCGCGUGAGUGAUGAAGGCCUUAGGGUUGUAAAGCUCUUUCGUCCGGGACGAUAAUGACGGUACCGGAAGAAGAAGCCCGGGCUAACUUCGUGCCAGCAGCCGCUGUAA
rnacentral:rRNA from 1 species